AGGCUUCUUGGUAAUUUAACUUCAUUGCAGCUGAGGAGAAAGGCUGCCUCCAUUCCAGCAUUAUUGUUUUUCAUUCCUAUUAUUACUUUUCUCCUCUCUGGAUAAAAUAAAAUAAAAUGAUGCUGCUCUUGGUCCCCCUCUUCCUCUUGGCCCUGCUCCAAGGUAAGUAUCUCCUAAAACAUUCUCCAACCCUUCCACAUCUUAUCAAAUGAACUAUCCUGAAUAUUAGAUAGGAUACUUAAUGGUAUAACAAUUCCCAUGACCCAUGUGUUUUGG
rnacentral:lncRNA from 1 species